AAUGCGUAGAGAUCUGGAGGAAUACCGGUGGCGAAGGCGGCCCCCUGGACAAAGACUGACGCUCAGGUGCGAAAGCGUGGGGAGCAAACAGGAUUAGAUACCCUGGUAGUCCACGCCGUAAACGAUGUCUACUUGGAGGUUGUGCCCUUGAGGCGUGGCUUCCGGAGCUAACGCGUUAAGUAGACCGCCUGGGGAGUACGGCCGCAAGGUUAAAACUCAAAUGAAUUGACGGGGGCCCGCACAAGCGGUGGAGCAUGUGGUUUAAUUCGAUGCAACGCGAAGAACCUUACCUGGUCUUGACAUCCACGGAAGUUUUCAGAGAUGAGAAUGUGCCUUCGGGAACCGUGAGACAGGUGCUGCAUGGCUGUCG
rnacentral:rRNA from 1 species